UCUUAACCACUACUCGUGCCGCUAUUCGUGUGAGUCAACCAUCGCCGGCAUAAGCAUCUAUCGUCGAUUUGUCUGCAGUUGGUAGGAGUUGGAGCUUAUUUUCUUGCUACUAAACAUCGGCCAAAACCUCUUCGUUCUUCCCUGCUUCUAGCUCACCAUAUACCACUGUGUGAGUCUGUUAGUGGGAAGGGAAGUACGCAAGAUUCGGGGUGCUCGUUGGAGGUCUAUUACUGAAAUAUAUUUCCCUUGUUUAGCAUUCAAGAAUUUUCUUUUCUUCCCUCUGUCCAUCCACCACUGUCCAGUAUAACUGAGCUGAGAGAGAGAUCUGGGAAGCACUGUCGUUCAUGUGGGUCGCUGUUGACACUGUGUUCGUCCAUUCGCCUCAGCUGUGAUUUUGUUCACGAGUUGCUGUUGUUCAUCCACCUCUGUCGCUGAUUCAGCCCUUCUUCUUUACUGUUCAAAAUCACUCUCCUUCCUCUGUCCAUGCGUGUUGAUUCAUUUAAGGGUGGGACAUUCAGAGCCAAGAGGUUAAUGGGAUUGAUAUCAAAUGGCGUCCAAAUCGUUGUGGAGAGUUCGAAGGAGAGGAAGAUUUGACUAGUGGUGGGAUGUAUACAGGUGGCCCUUGUGCUUUUAUCUUGUUGAUUCGCCAGAGGAGAAGAAGGCAUCAAUCUUAUGACAACAAUGUUGAGGACUUCCUCUAAAAUAUGAGUAACUUGAUGCCCAUCAAGUACUCUUACUCAAAGAUCAAGAAACUCUACCACAGAAAAACCUUAUACCUAACACUUAUUUUUUCCAAUACUUGAUGGUUUUUAACCAUUAUGUAAGGGCGCAACAUAUAUUAAAACAACCUUACUUGAUA